AGGGUUUGAUCAUGGCUCAGAACGUACGCUGGCGGCACGCCUUAUACAUGCAAGUCGAACGAAGUAGCAAUACUUAGUGGCAGACGGGUGAGUAACAUGUGGGUAUCUUCCCUUUGGCCUGGAAUAACACGAGGAAACUUGUGCUAAUACUGGAUAAGUCUUUACGGAGAAAGCUUUAUGCACCAUUGGAUGAGCCCGCACUUGAUUAGUUUGUUGGUGGGGUAAUGGCCUACCAAGACAAUGAUCAAUAGCUGAUUUGAGAGGAUGAUCAGCCACAUUGGAACUGAGACACGGUCCAAACUUCUACGGAAGGCAGCAGUAGGGAAUCUUGCACAAUGGAGGAAACUCUGAUGCAGCGAUGCCGCGUGAGUGAAGAAGGCCUUUGGGUUGUAAAGCUCUUUCGUCGGGGAAGAAAAUGACUGUACCCGAAUAAGAAGGUCCGGCUAACUUCGUGCCAGCAGCCGCGGUAAUACGAAGGGACCUAGCGUAGUUCGGAAUUACUGGGCUUAAAGAGUUCGUAGGUGGUUAAAAAAGUUGGUGGUGAAAUCCCAGAGCUUAACUCUGGAACUGCCAUCAAAACUUUUUAGCUAGAGUAUGAUAGAGGAAAGCAGAAUUUCUAGUGUAGAGGUGAAAUUCGUAGAUAUUAGAAAGAAUACCAAUUGCGAAGGCAGCUUUCUGGAUCAUUACUGACACUGAGGAACGAAAGCAUGAGUAGC
rnacentral:rRNA from 1 species